rnacentral:rRNA from 1 species
CGGACGGGUGAGUAACGCGUGGGAACGUGCCCUUUGGUUCGGAACAACACAGGGAAACUUGUGCUAAUACCGAAUGUGCCCUUCGGGNGGAAAGAUUUAUCGCCAUUGGAGCGGCCCGCGUUGGACUAGCUAGUUGGUGGGGUAAAGGCCUACCAAGGCUACGAUCCAUAGCUGGUCUGAGAGGAUGAUCAGCCACACUGGGACUGAGACACGGCCCAGACUCCUACGGGAGGCAGCAGUAGGGAAUCUUGCGCAAUGGGCGAAAGCCUGACGCAGCCAUGCCGCGUGAAUGAUGAAGGUCUUAGGAUUGUAAAAUUCUUUCACCGGGGAAGAUAAUGACGGUACCCGGAGAAGAAGCCCCGGCUAACUUCGUGCCAGCAGCCGCGGUAAU